AGCACUGCCGCCAGUUUCAGAUUAUACCUGAGAAGUUCCAGAGGAGCUUGCAAACCAACAGAGUCUGGACUCAAGGAGCCAGAGCCUCCCAUGUGAACAACUGGUCAGGAGGCAUCAGAGCAUUUGGAGCUAGUUUACCACUGUCUCGGUAUAAAGUUUUCUUCCCUGUUCUGGUAAUACUCUCAGCAUGUUCGGUGCAUGGCUGUCCGUGUUAUGGCCCCUCUAGGCUCAAACUGACACUUCUAUUCUUCCUGGAUCUCAAGCUUGGUGCCCAGAACACUGGAACUAUACCAUUAGCUCUCCUGCUUGAUGACUGCGGAUCUUGGGGCCUGUCAGCCCCCAUAAUCAUGUGAGCAGAUUC